rnacentral:rRNA from 1 species
GUUUCAGCAGCCGCGGUAAGACGAGGUCCACAAACGUUAUUCGGAAUUACUGGGCUUAAAGCGUGCGUAGGCGGCCUAGCAAGUCAGGUGUGAAAGCCCUCGGCUCAACCGAGGAAUUGCGCCCGAAACUGCUGGGCUUGAGUGAGACAGAGGUGAGCGGAACUGAUGGUGGAGCGGUGAAAUGCGUUGAUAUCAUCAGGAACACCGGUGGCGAAGGCGGCUCACUGGGUCUCAACUGACGCUGAGGUACGAAAGCCAGGGUAGCGAACGGGAUUAGAAACCCCCGUAGUCC